GUGAUGAUCCAAGUGAGAGUCCAAGAGGUACAAUUUGACUCCACGUGUACAAGGACUAAGCAAGGAGCCAAGGUAAAAGUGGGUUGAGUGAAUGGGAGAUGAGAGAAGGGUGUACAUGGGUGCUUGGGUUUGGAUGUCAAAUCACAAGGGUUGUACUAUUGUUUCUCUUCUUUUGAUUCAUAGUGAAAUUGGAUCACACUCCGUGGAUGUAGGC